AACGAACGCUGGCGGCGUGGAUAAGACAUGCAAGUCGAACGCGACUUGGCCUGUAGCAAUACAGGUUAAGUUGAGUGGCGCAAGGGUGCGUAACACGUGGGUAAUUUGCCGUGAAGUUGGGGAUAAUCCCGCGAAAGCGGGACUAAUACCGAAUGUGACUAUUGGGAGGCAUCUUCUGAUGGUUGAAGCUGGGGAUCCGCAAGGACCUGGCCCUUUACGAUAAGCCCGCGGCCUAUCAGCUAGUUGGUGAGGUAACGGCUCACCAAGGCGAAGACGGGUAGCUGGUCUGAGAGGACGACCAGCCACACUGGAACUGAGACACGGUCCAGACACCUACGGGUGGCAGCAGUCGAGAAUUUUUCUCAAUGGGCGCAAGCCUGAAGGAGCGACGCCGCGUGGGGGAUGAAGGGUUUCGAUCCGUAAACCCCUGUCAUUUUGUGAACAAUGUUCAUUAUUUAAAAGAUGAUGGAUUGAUAGUAGCGAAAGAGGAAGGGACGGCUAACU
rnacentral:rRNA from 1 species